UAGGGAAUAUUAGUAAUGGGCGAAAGCCUGAACUAGCAACACCGCGUGUGCGAAGAAGGCCUUCGGGUUGUAAAGCACUUUUUGAGAGGAUGAGGAAGGACGGUACUCUUAGAAUAAGCCUCGGCUAACUACGUGCCAGCAGCCGCGGUAAAACGUAGGAGGCGAGCGUUAUCCGGAUUUACUGGGCGUAAAGCGUGUGUAGGCGGUUUGAUAAGUUGGAUGUGAAAGCUCCUGGCUUAACUGGGAGAGGUCGUUCAAAACUGCAGAGCUAGAGGAUGGUAGAGGGAGGUGGAAUUCCGGGUGUAGCGGUGGAAUGCGCAGAUAUCCGGAGGAACACCAGUGGCGAAAGCGGCCUCCUGGACCAUUCCUGACACUCAGACGCGAAAGCUAGGGUAGCAAACG
rnacentral:rRNA from 1 species